rnacentral:rRNA from 1 species
AGGGUGUAAACGCUGCAGACUUGGUGUUGGAAGUCCUUUGGGGGCAUUCAGUGCCGGAGAGAAGUUGUUAAGUCUGCUACUUGGGGAGUACGUCCGCAAGGAUGAAACUUAAAGGAAUUGGCGGGGGAGCGCCGCAACGGGAGGAGCGUGCGGUUUAAUUGGAUUCAACGCCGGGAAGCUCACCGGAUAAGACAGCGGAAUGAUUGCCGGGCUGAAGACUCUGCAUGACUAGCUGAGAGGAGGUGCAUGGCGUAGACGUCU